GAGAAACUGUGCCUACGUAACCUGAUCGAGGUCACCUGGUAAAUAAAAGGUUUGGAGACGCCGGCUGGCGCCCGGCCGGCCCUAAACGAGCGGGUGACAAAGCCCCAUACGCUCGAGGACCAGGACGCGGUGCCGCCGCUGCCUUUCGGGCCCGUCCCCCGGGGGGGACGACGACCCAACACACAAGCCGGGCUUGAAGGGCAGCAAUGACGCUCGGACAGGCAUGCCCCCCGGAAUGCCAGGGGGCGCAAUGUGCGUUCAAAGACUCGAUGAUUCACUGAAUUCUGCAAUUCACAUUACUUAUCGCAGUUCGCUGCGUUCUUCAUCGAUGCCGGAACCAAGAGAUCCAUUGUUGAAAGUUUUAAUUAGGUUUGCUUGUAUCAAGCUCAGACGACACGCUAAAAACAAGAAGUUCGGUGUGGUCCCCGGCGGCUUACGCCCCCCGGGAAGGGGGCGCGCACCGCCGAAGCAACGUUGGUCAGGUAUUCACGGGUGGGAGGUUAGGCCUGCCUGUGGGGCGAGGCCUGCACUCGGUAAUGAUCCUUCCGCAGGUUCACCUAC
rnacentral:misc_RNA from 1 species